rnacentral:rRNA from 1 species
AAGUCGUAACAAGGUUUCCGUAGGUGAACCUGCGGAAGGAUCAUUAACAGAGAGGAACAAGUUUCCUUGGGGCCCAGGCCCCGUCUCUUCACCCUGUGCCAACCUACCGUCGUUGCUUUGGCGUGCCGGGGGUCAUCCCCUAUUUGUCGGCAGCGGGUCUGAAAAAGAACGCUCCGGCAGAUCGUGCUCGUCAGAAGCCCAUUAAAUUCCGUUCAUCAGUGUUGUCCGAGUCAAAAAACAUAAAUAGUAAAAAACUUUCAACAACGGAUCUCUUGGUUCUGGCAUCGAUGAAGAACGCAGCGAAAUGCGAUAAGUAAUGUGAAUUGCAGAAUUCAGUGAAUCAUCGAAUCUUUGAACGCACAUUGCGCCCCUCGGAAUUCCGGGGGGCAUACCUGUUCGAGCGUCAUUGCACCCCUCAAGCUCCGGCUUGGUAUUGGGUUUCGCCCCCGGGGCGCACCCGAAAAGCAGUGGCGGUCCGGGGAGACUUUAAGCGCAGUAAAAUUUUCCCUCGCUUUGAAAGUCCACCCCGGGGCUUGCUCAACCCCCCGAUAUUCCACGAUUGACCUCGGAUCAGGUAGGGAUACCCGCUGAACUUAAGCAUAUCAAUAAGCGGAGGAAAAGAAACCAACAGGGAUUGCCUCAGUAACGGCGAGUGAAGCGGCAACAGCUCAAAUUUGAAAUCCGGUCCUUUCAGGCCCCGAGUUGUAAUUUGUAGAGGAUGUUUCGGGCGCGGCGCGGGUCUAAGUCCUUUGGAACAGGGCGUCAUAGAGGGUGAGAAUCCCGUAUGCGACCCGUCACCAAGCCCAUGUGAAACCCCUUCGACGAGUCGAGUUGUUUGGGAAUGCAGCUCAAAAUGGGUGGUAAAUUUCAUCUAAAGCUAAAUACCGGCCAGAGACCGAUAGCGCACAAGUAGAGUGAUCGAAAGAUGAAAAGCACUUUGGAAAGAGAGUCAAAAAGUACGUGAAAUUGUUGAAAGGGAAGCGCUUGCAACCAGACCUGUCCGCGGGCGAUCAGCCCCCGUUCUCGGGGGUGCACUCGUCGGCGAUCAGGCCAGCAUCGGUUCGGGCGGCCGGACAAAGGCCCGGGGAAUGUAGCUCUCUCCGGGGAGUGUUAGAGCCCCGGGUGCAAUGCGGCCAGCUCGGACCGAGGACCGCGCUUCGGCUAGGAUGCUGGCGUAAUGGUUGCAAGCGACC